rnacentral:rRNA from 1 species
UACGGGGGGGGCAAGCGUUGUUCGGAAUUACUGGGCGUAAAGGGCUCGUAGGUGGCCAACUAAGUCAGACGUGAAAUCCCCCGGCUUAACCGGGGAACUGCGUCUGAUACUGGAUGGCUUGAGUUUGGGAGAGGGAUGCGGAAUUCCAGGUGUAGCGGUGAAAUGCGUAGAUAUCUGGAGGAACACCGGUGGCGAAGGCGGCAUCCUGGACCAAUACUGACACUGAGGAGCGAAAGCCAGGGGAGCAAACGGG